AAAUUGCUUUUAGGAGUUCACAGCAUUUUGAAACCGGGACACUUGACAUGGAAAAGUGAACAUGUUAACCUGAAGUAAAGGUUUAGAACAAAUUGUUUUUGUGAAGUGUCAUUUAUACAAAGAGCUGAUUAAAAAGAAAAAAAAAAAAAAAAAAGGAAAAAAGGCCCUGAAUGAGAAGAACACAACAGAAGAAAACUUCCAGUGUGAUUCAGUAACACUUCCAAUGUAAUGCUGGGCUACAAACAACCUGCAAAAAUUGGGACCUUGCAAACACCUAUCAACAUUCAUAUAACUGAAGACCAGUUUUUUAAAACGGAGAGCUUUCCCUACUGACUUACUAAAAGGUAUCUAUGUUAGUAGUGGUUUUAGAACUGUCUGCUCCAUCAACUUCUCAACACACUGCACCUGAUCCCAGGUACUUGGGCAACACAACCAACGACAGGCUGCAAGGCAGAAUUGUUGCCAAGUAUGCAAUCCGAAGAAUAAUGAAACAUGCAGGAGUUUAAAGUUCACAGACAGCACAAAUUUCUGGCAUGUAAGAAAGUUUUAAAAGGGGGUUCCAAGCCAAACCAGUGCCAAGGAAGAAGCAAGCUCAUGGAAGAGCAGAGUAUGUGGCUGGCAGUACUUCUGAACUCAACUUUGAGAGAUUUUUGGGACAAGACCUGCCCAGAUGAACACAGGCACCCCUGGGAUGUUCCCUCUGUUCACCUUUGGAGUGUCAGUGGUCUGGGAUUGCUUCUGGGGAUGCUGCUCUCAAGGAGUCAGGAUUGCCCCGGCCACUUAUCCCAAGCUGAUCUCUGUCCUGGCAAGUGGCUGUGGGAUAAAAUUUGCUCACUACGUGCUCACUGGCAGAGAAACAAGGCUGAUAAAAGGAAAGAUGCUGCGAAUGCACGGCUUAAAUGA
rnacentral:lncRNA from 1 species